UCCUUGGUGGUCCAGUGGAUUAGGACUUGGCACUGUAACUGCCAGGGGCCGGGAUUCGAUCCCUGGUUAGGGAA
rnacentral:tRNA from 1 species